rnacentral:rRNA from 1 species
AUGAGGGAGAUGCAGAUAGCUGGGCUGAACCAGGCUCACGCUGAGACAAAACAUAAACUCGAGGUCUGGCGUGACGACAAGGCUACCGACCGUCAGCAACUCUACAGCUUCUCAAACAGCUGGAUCCCUGCCUCUGCUGCAGAAGAAUGCAACCUUGAGCUCACCGUAGCAACCGGGAGCAGCAGAAGCCACAAGGGCAAGCAAGUGGGCAAGUCCUCAAACUCAUACUCCGGGAUGGCGGUGUCGUCAACAUCGAGCGGAUCCGAUCUGGCUCGGUUCAAGGAGUUUGACACGAGGUUGGUGAGGUUUCAGAUUGAGAGCAAAAGGGUGCACCAGCCUGUGAUCCUUAGGAUGGCACGGUGA